rnacentral:lncRNA from 13 species
GUGUGUGCGUGUGCGUGUGUGUGUGUGUGUGUGUGUGUACAUGCAAGCGUGUGUGUGUGUGUGUGUGUGUACAUGCAAGCGUGCAUGUUUUGUUUAGUGAACAUGCACCAGGCUUCUUUGCCUCUAAAGCUGGUUUCCAACCAACCAUUGGUCAAAUGUAGUGCACUAUUUAGGGAACAGCAUGUCAUUAGGGACGGAGUUCAUUCCCUCGGGAGGAGGGCAUAGCCUAGGCUAAUGCCCAACAGAUACAUCAACCUUUAGAGACCUGGAGACCAGAGAUGUGUCCCAAAUGGCAGCCUAUUCACCAAUAUAGUGCACUAUGGGCUCUGGUCAAAACAGUAGUGUACUACAUUGGAAAUAGGAGACGCCAUUUUGGAAAGAGUCUUUGAAAAAUGUUCUGACUCCGGACAGAUCAUGCACUUGGAGGACACACAGCCGAGGCCANNNNNNNNNNNNNNNNNNNNNNNNNNNNNNNNNNNNNNNNNNAGGUCAAAUAGGGGAGAGGCGUUGUGCCGUGAGGUGUUACUUUAUCUGUUUUUUAAAACCAGCUUUGCUGUUCAUGCUUGCCAUGCUUUCCACCUGGCUACCCCUACCCCGGCCAACAGCUCUGCACCCCCCUGCAGCAACUUGAGGGGUCAGGGUAUGUUGAUCAGGGUAUGUUGGUCAGGGUAUGUUGGUCAGGGUAUGUUGGUCAGGGUAUGUUGGUCAGGGUAUGUUGGUCAGGGUAUGUUAGGUCAGGGUAUGUUAAGUCAGGGUAUGUUAAGUCAGGGUAUGUUAGUCAAGGUAUGUUGGUCAAGGUAUGUUAAGUCAGGGUAUGUUAGUCAGGGUAUGNNNNNNNNNNNNNNNNNNNNNNNNNNNNNNNNNNNNNNNNNNNNNNNNNNNNNNNNNNNNNNNNNNNNNNNNNNNNNNNNNNNNNNNNNNNNNNNNNNNNNNNNNNNNNNNNNNNNNNNNNUCAGGGUAUGUUAAGUCAGGGUAUGUUGGUCAGGGUAUGUUAGUCAAGGUAUGUUAGUCAGGGUAUGUUGGUCAAGGGUAUGUUGGUCAGGGUAUGUUAAGUCAGGGUAUGUUAAGUCAGGGUAUGUUAAGUACGGGGGUGUUAGGGUAUGUUAAGUCCGGGUGUGUUAGGGUAUGUUAAGUCCGGGUGUGUUAGGGUAUGUUAAGUCAGGGUAUGUUAAGACAAGGUAUGUUAAAACAGGGUAUGUUAGUUAGGGUAUGUUAUUCGGGGUAUGUUAGUCAGGGUAUCUUAAGACAGGGUAUGUUAAGACAAGGUAUGUUAGUCAGGGUAUUAUUAGGGUAUGUUAGAGUAUGUUAAAUCAGGGUUAGUCAGGGUAUAUUAAGUCAGGGUAUGUUAAUCAGGGUAUGUUAUGUCAUUCAAUGUGAUUUUCUGGAUUUUUGUUUUAGAUUCCGUCUCUCACAGAUGAAGUGUACCUAUGAUAAAAAAUUACAGACCUCUACAUGCUUUGUAAGUAGGAAAACCUACAAAAUCGGCAGUGCAUUAAAUACUUGUUCUCCCCACUGUAUACAUCGAUCAAGUGUUUAAACUCCACCAAUGAAACUAGAUCAUCACAUUUUAAAAUGUUCAGGAGAGAAUUCCAGGACCACGGAACUGAGUAACUAAAACUAUUUCUACCAUGACCUGUCCUAAUUUUUCGUACUGUUAGAAGCAAAUGAGAAUGGGACCGUAAUUGAUAUUCAUUUACUAACCUGACUAAAAAAGAACAGAGAUAAAAUGGCAUUUUACCCAAUAUGGCCUUAAAAAUCAGUGUAUACCAGUGUUUAAGCCUACGCAAGGUCAAUGACGACCAGCCAACAGCGCUGUUGAGAUCUCAAUGAUGUGUUAGACAUGAUAUACUGAAUCAAGUGCUCUCAGGGUAGUGGCUGAGGCCGGCAUAUAUAUAACAUCACUCAAAUCUAAAUCCGACAGUAAUGUACGUCGUACCAGUUCCUUCCCAGCCUCUAAAGAAAAACAAGCCUUAUGCCGGUAAUAAAAUCCUAUUUUCAGCUUGAGCUUCCUUAUCAAGUUCUCUACAUGCACAGUGAAGCUCAGCUUAUCAUCAACCCACACAUCCAAAUACCAAUUUGAAAAUACCAUGCAUUUUGUUUUACCCAAAUCUGGAAUCAGCUUUAAAUCAUACAGAUUCUGUUGUAUGAUGUUAAAUGCUCUUUGGGCAUUUUCAAAAGCCAAAGAUAAACUACUACCACUUGAAUAAAGAACAGUAUCAUCUGCAUAAAAAUGAACAUCCGCUGUUUCAAUAAGAUCCCCAAUGUUGUUAAUAUGCAAAAUGAACAACAGUGGGCCCAAAAUAGAACCUUGCGGAACACCUGAGCACACCUCUACCGCCAUUACACAUUGUGUACGAUUUGAUAGGUAAUUUAUAAACCAAUCUAGAGCAUGACCGGUAAUUCCACAACAUUUUAACCUUUGCACUAACACAGUAUGGUCCACGGUGUCAAAAGCCUUCGACAAAUCAAUAACUGUAUCUUCUUAUCAAGAGCACAGUAGAUGUCAUUUAAAACCUUCAAUGUUGCUGAAACAGUGCUGUGGCCAGGCCUAAAACCUGAUUGCGUUCAAUUUAAGAUGUUGUUUUCUUGGAAGUAGGUCUUUAGCUGCCUACUAACUAAGGACUCCAGUACCUUUGACAGAACAGACAAUUUUGAUAUGGGUCGAUACUUGUCAAGUAGCGAAGGAUCUCCACCUUUCAGGAGAGGCAGUACACAAGCAGAUUUCCAUAACUUGGGGAUUUCCUUAACAUCAAGCGCAAGGUUAAAAAUACAUGUUAUGGGGGAGCAAUGAUGUCUGCGGCUAGGUGUAGGAGGCGGAGGCCUAGUUCAUCAGGGCCAGGGGAUUUAAUGUGUUGGCCUGUCUACGUGAUUACAGAUGCAUUAGCGUAUUGCUCUAAAAUAACUUGGCGCUCCAUGCUGAAGCUCAGCAUUUGGAACAGUGCUGUUAUUUGAUUAUUCACAUUAUUGCUACGUACUUUAAGAGUUUUCAGUCUUCCCAUUCUGUCUUCUGAAUUAAUUUAGUUGUCUCUGUUUUUUGCCUAGACUCUCUUGGUACCUUUAAAUACACAGUACCAAUCAACAGUUUGGACACACCUACUCAUUCAAGGGUGGCUACUUUAAAGAAUAUGAAAUAUGAAAUAUAUUUAGAUUUGUUUAACACUUUUUUGGUUACUACAUUAUUCCAUAUGUGUUUAUUUCAUAGUUUUGAUGUAUUCAAUAUUAUUCUAAAAUGUAGAAAAUAGUACAAAUAAAGAAAAACCCUUGACUGAGUAGGUGUGCUCAAACUUUUGACUGGUGCUGUGUAUUCGUAUAUAUAUAUAUAUAUAUAUAUAUAUAUAUAUAUAUAUAUAUAUAUAUAUAUAUAUAUAUAUAUAUAUAUAUAUAUAUAUAUAUGGCGUUGGUGGAUGGAGCGAGACAUGACGUCCCAGAUGUGCUCAAUUGGAUUCAGGUCUGGGGAACGAGCGGGCCAGUCCAUAGCAUCAAUGGGGAACGGGUGGGCCAG